ACACAGAGAGAGAACGGGAGAGGAAGGAAGCCACAUCACGGGGGCGGCCACAUCAAAGGUUUCCGCGGCGGAAGUCGCCGGCGACGAGAUGGUCGGCGAUCCGGGCGCCCCUCCAUCCUCGCGCCCCGCUGAUGAAUGUCUGAUGGAUGCCCGCAAGAAGAUUGAACACAAGAUCAAAAGUAAAGCCGAUGCGUCCUUGAAAGAAGGGUUAGGUCAAGAGCUUAAAACUGUACGCACUCGAAUCUUUUUCUGUGUUUUGAUUUAACCCCUUUUUUUUGUACAUUUUGUUAUGAAUCUCAUCAUCAAUUUCUUUUGUUAUGAACACGAGUUCCAAUUAAUCUGGAACAGUUCCAAAUUAACUGGAACCCUUCCACGGCUGUUUGGACUUAUCUGCGUCGUAGUUCUACCCGGUACCUACAAAAUGAAGAGAAAUCAUUAUUUGUGAGGUGUAUGUUUUGCUGGAAUGUUUCAAGGAACAGCUGAGAGAAACGGCGCUUGAUCAAACCAUUAUUGACAGACUUGUGUUAUCAAACGGCGCUUGAUUUCCGAGCUGUUUAGGCGGCACAGCAAAGAUGAGCCAAAGACAAAUUAAUACUAGUGUCAAGGAAAAAGGAAAGCAACCACUUUCCACAACAGGCAACUCUGCACUGCUUUUACGCAGAUAGGACACUCAGCAAACACACGACACGGAGUGUGAAAUAAACAGAACAAGGAUCGAAAAAAAAGAGCAGACCGCUAGCAUUCAGAAAGAGCAGCUUCAGUUCUUUGAAGAUAUGACGAACUGUAAUGAGGAAGUCUACAGUGCUAGCUAUUACAGAUCAACUUAUGGUCAAUCUUCAUCAAGCAACACAAUGUGACAUCCACCUAUGAACGCAACUAUUGAGCAUGACGAACACACUGACGCCCCCAAGCCUCUGCAACUACAGGGCUUUAAACAGGACGAACAAACAUACAAAGUGGACACAAGCAGAAGAAGACAGCAUAGGUUUCACAUCGUAACUCAGACCGCAGAAUCUUGUGCAGUGGGAGCAUUAAUCCCUCCCAGAGGAGGAAGAGGGCCGCUCCAGGAUGCCGGCAUGAGUGAGAAGCGCCCAGAGAUGUGUCAUGAACUCACCACCAGCGGACAGCUUCUCCCCAUGGAUCUCUGUAUUGUCAGAUGGCGCCAGGAAGAGUAUGAACUCUGCCCAAAAGUCGGCCAACACCUUCCAACGCUGCUCUUGGUCGGGGACCAUGUCUCUAAGUUGCCUCCCAAGCUUGGCUCCCAUAUAUAAGAUUGUGCCUGUGCCGCCCAUGCCGCCCAAGCCCCUCACCAGCUUCUCACAUCUGUUGCUCACAGUUUCACAUUCGGCAAGGCACUGCUGAGCCUCCAGCACCACAGCGUCGAAUGUGCACCGUGUGUCGUGGCCAUGUCCAGGCAGCAUGUCCGGAACAAAAGCUACCAGGUAGGCACAGUAAUCUGACAGGCUCACGGCAACAAGACGAUCCAAGUUGCCCUCCAGCGGCACCUCGUUCCAGGAGAUGGUUGUGGCAAUAUGCCAUACAAGGAUCGUGUGGAUAUGUGUUGGCAAGGUGCAGGCCCAUGAGAAUUGGCUUCCCAGCUGAUUUGUAGCUGAUUGUCCAUUUUCUACCUUGCCGUUGUUGUUUUUGAACUGAGAGAGGACGUGUACGAUGACAGUAUCUGCCAGUUUUAUCUUCUCCCCAGCCUUCUGUCCUUUUCUCGUAGCCUCGAUCAAGCCUAGUGACAGAAAAGACAAUGCAUUCCACGGAUCAUAGUCGAAGUUGAGUAACAGAGAGUACUGCCCGAGCUUUCUUUCCCACGUCU